CUUUCGAGUAGAAGCGGUCAGUGCCAGCAAUGGCACCGGGCAUUGCUCUUGCG
ncrna:Pseudomonas moraviensis R28-S NMT1 RNA